GACGUAGGGCGCGAGCGUUGUCCGGAUUUAUUGGGCGUAAAGGGCUCGUAGGUGGCCAACUAAGUCAGACGUGAAAUCCCUCGGCUUAACCGGGGAACUGCGUCUGAUACUGGAUGGCUUGAGUUCGGGAGAGGGAUGCGGAAUUCCAGGUGUAGCGGUGAAAUGCGUAGAUAUCUGGAGGAACACCGGUGGCGAAGGCGGCAUCCUGGACCGGCACUGACACUGAGGAGCGAAAGCCAGGGGAGCAAACGGG
rnacentral:rRNA from 1 species